rnacentral:lncRNA from 1 species
UCUUGUUACCCAUGCAAUGUUGGGGUCAGAGAGUGUAGAGAGUGGUGUGGGGAGAGUGCAGGCUGAAGAGUUACCUAAGGUCAAAAUCCUGACCUAUGAGCCAAGCCAUCGAUUUGGGAUUUCUACUGAGGACACUGGAAGUCACUAAGAGCAUCUGAAUGGCUGGACCCACGCCUUCAUCAAUCUACUGUCAGGGAUAGAUUGUGCAUUUUCUGUGUCCCAGUGGGUGCCCCCCCCCCAAAAUAGAGCAGACAAAGCCUGGCCUGCGAGGGUACUGGUUUAGUUCAACAAAUAUCCAUAGAAUGCCCACUUAGGCAAAAUGGCAUAGGGCAGAUUGCCAAAAUCAGGGUUGACUCGGCCUGGAGCCAUGAAGUGGGUCCAACAGGUCUCUGAACUGAGGCAGGAGGCCCCAGGAUCCCGAGGUGUGCUGUAAAGCCUUUGAUGACAGCAUCUUGUGCCUAACACCUGACCACAUCUGAGCCACUAGAGACAGUACCUGAUAAGGAUGCAGAUGCCUGGGCCCUACCUUCCAAAGUUCUGGCUCAGUAGGUCUGGGGGAAGAAAAUAAAAGAGACUGAGAAACCACAGAAAUAAAGAAGCGCUGAUGACAAUGCCUGCUUGCUGAUGGUUACGAUGAUCAUAGCAGUGUGCAUUUUGUAUGCAUGAAGCCUGCGACUAAAUAAACGUGUGGGGAAAUAUUUGUAAGGAAAUAAGCUAUUAAUAAAAUAAGCUAAAAUCACAG